UCGGGUCUUGUGACCACGUCUCCCCGCUUUUUCGCCCGGUUGCCUCCAGGUUCUGAGAAGAUGGCGAAGGUCUCAGAGCUUUACGAUGUCACAUGGGAAGAAAUGCGAGAUAAAAUGAGAAAAUGGAGAGAAGAAAACUCAAGAAAUAGUGAGCAAAUCGUGGAAGUUGGAGAGGAAUUAAUUAAUGAAUAUGCUUCUAAGCUUGGAGAUGAUAUUUGGAUCAUAUAUGAACAGGUGAUGAUUGCGGCCCUCGACUAUGGUCGGGAUGACUUGUCAUUGUUUUGUCUUCAAGAGUUGAGAAGACAGUUCCCUGGCAGUCACAGAGUCAAGCGACUAACUGGCAUGAGAUUUGAAGCCAUGGAGAGAUAUGAUGAUGCUAUACAGCUAUAUGAUCGAAUUUUACAAGAAGAUCCAACUAACACUGCUGCAAGAAAGCGUAAGAUUGCCAUUCGAAAAGCCCAGGGGAAAAAUGUGGAGGCCAUUCGGGAACUGAAUGAGUAUCUGGAACAAUUUGUUGGAGACCAAGAAGCCUGGCAUGAACUUGCAGAACUUUAUAUCAAUGAACAUGACUAUGCUAAAGCAGCCUUUUGUUUAGAGGAGCUUAUGAUGACUAAUCCACACAACCACUUAUACUGUCAGCAGUAUGCUGAAGUUAAAUAUACCCAAGGUGGACUUGAAAAUCUUGAACUUUCAAGAAAGUAUUUUGCACAGGCAUUGAAACUGAACAACAGAAAUAUGAGAGCUUUGUUUGGACUUUACAUGUCUGCAAGUCAUAUUGCUUCUAAUCCAAAAGCAAGUGCAAAAACAAAAAAGGACAACAUGAAAUAUGCUAGUUGGGCAGCUAGUCAAAUAAACAGAGCUUAUCAGACUUAUUUUGUAGAGUCUCAGUGUUUUUUGGAAAGAGCUCUGAGAAUAUCAUCUGUGCUCUUCAGUCUUUGACUUUGGCACCAUAAACUCCAUAGUACCCAGUGAUGUUUUACACAUCUUUCCUGAAGCAUGCAGGAUCUUAGUUCCCUAACCAGGGAUCGAACCCGUUCCACCUGCAGUAGAAGCACAGAGUCUUAACCACUGCACCACCAGGGAAGUCCCAGUAACGGGUUUUUAAUAAAAUCUUUUGGUGCUUUUGAAAUUUUCAUCUCUAUGCUUUUUCUACAGAAGUUGGUGGUUUUCUUCAUGUGAAUCAGAUUUCAUAAAUAUUUGUAUCUAUUGCCUUUUGCUAACAUAGUGGUUUAAAAUAACGACUUAUUUGCUUAUGAAUCUGUAGGUAUCAUGUAGGCUUGCGCUCAGUUGAGUAAUUCUACAGGUCUAUAGUGGACUUAUUUUUUUUCUGCUCUAUGCUAGUGGUUGAUGGCCUCACUUAAAUGUCUGAUGGUUGGCUCUCUGUCAGCUGGGGGUGCUGGGCCUUGUAUUUCUCAUUUGGUGAGCUAACUUGGACUUAGUCACAUGAUGGUUUCAGGGUUCCAGGAGCAGCAAAGAGGCAAACUUCAGUGCCCAAGGGUGUUUUGAGCCUCUGGUUGUGUCACAUAUUGCUAAUAUUCCAUUGAGCAAAACAAGUCAUGUGGUGAACCCAGAUACAGGGGAUAUAAUAUUUCACCUCUCAAUCGGAAGAGAAAUAUGUGGUCAUUUGGCAGUUUAUUACAUUUUUGUAUAAUUCCAUAGUUCCAUCCUUCUGUUUUUGUUUAUUUUGCCUUUUUCUUUUUAUCUACUUUAUUGAGGUAUAGUUUACAUACAAUAACAUGCACACAUUUUAAGUGUACAGUUGAGUUUUGACAAAUGUAUACUCUCACCACUACCCCAUUCAAGACAUAGUUUCCAUCACCACAGAAAGUUCCCUUCUGCCACUUUGUAGUCAGCCCCAUUCCACACUGCAGACUAGCACUGAUUUGAUUUUCAUCACUAUAAAUUAGUUUUGCCUGUACUAGAACUUUGUAUAUAAAUGAGAUAGUAGAUUAUGUACUCUUUUGUGCAUUGCUUCUUUCACUCAACAUGUUUCUGAGAUUCAUCCAUCUACUUCUCCAUAUUAUUUAUCUUAUUACUUUGUCCACCCAUAUUAUUUUCCACAAACUGUGUAAAUUUGUGAAUU